UGAGGAAUAUUGGUCAAUGGACGAGAGUCUGAACCAGCCAAGUAGCGUGAAGGAUGACUGCCCUAUGGGUUGUAAACUUCUUUUAUACGGGAAUAAAGUGAGGCACGUGUGCCUUUUUGUAUGUACCGUAUGAAUAAGGAUCGGCUAACUCCGUGCCAGCAGCCGCGGUAAUACGGAGGAUCCGAGCGUUAUCCGGAUUUAUUGGGUUUAAAGGGAGCGUAGGCGGACGCUUAAGUCAGUUGUGAAAGUUUGCGGCUCAACCGUAAAAUUGCAGUUGAUACUGGGUGUCUUGAGUACAGUAGAGGCAGGCGGAAUUCGUGGUGUAGCGGUGAAAUGCUUAGAUAUCACGAAGAACUCCGAUUGCGAAGGCAGCUUGCUGGACUGUAACUGACGCUGAUGCUCGAAAGUGUGGGUAUCAAACAGGAUUAGAUACCCUGGUAGUCCACACAGUAAACGAUGAAUACUCGCUGUUUGCGAUAUACAGUAAGCGGCCAAGCGAAAGCGUUAAGUAUUCCACCUGGGGAGUACGCCGGCAACGGUGAAACUCAAAGGAAUUGACGGGGGCCCGCACAAGCGGAGGAACAUGUGGUUUAAUUCGAUGAUACGCGAGGAACCUUACCCGGGCUUGAAUUGCAACUGAAUGAUGUGGAGACAUGUCAGCCGCAAGGCAGUUGUGAAGGUGCUGCAUGGUUGUCGUCAGCUCGUGCCGUGAGGUGUCGGCUUAAGUGCCAUAACGAGCGCAACCCUUAUCGAUAGUUACCAUCAGGUUAUGCUGGGGACUCUGUCGAGACUGCCGUCGUAAGAUGUGAGGAAGGUGGGGAUGACGUCAAAUCAGCACGGCCCUUACGUCCGGGGCUACACACGUGUUACAAUGGGGGGUACAGAAGGCAGCUACACGGCGACGUGAUACUAAUCCCUAAAGCCUCUCUCAGUUCGGAUUGGAGUCUGCAACCCGACUCCAUGAAGCUGGAUUCGCUAGUAAUCGCGCAUCAGCCACGGCGCGGUGAAUACGUUCCC
rnacentral:rRNA from 1 species